GGUAAUACGUAGGGUGCGAGCGUUAUCCGGAAUUAUUGGGCGUAAAGCGCGCGUAGGCGGUUUAUUAAGUCAGAUGUGAAAGCCCCGGGCUCAACCUGGGAAUUGCAUUUGAGACUGGUAGGCUAGAGUGUGGUAGAGGUGAGUGGAAUUUCAGGUGUAGCGGUGAAAUGCGUAGAGAUCUGAAGGAACAUCAGUGGCGAAGGC
rnacentral:rRNA from 1 species